GCCCAUAGCUCAAUUGGUAGAACGUUUAACUUCUAAUUAAUAGGUCACAGGUUCUAGCCUGGGGUGGGCA
rnacentral:tRNA from 1 species